CCUUGAUGUAUCCACUUACAGGCUUGUGGGACAAGACACUAUUCAAAGGAAUGGGAGACACACUGAUCCAGAAGUUCCAACACUGUGAUCUGCAACGAACUGGGCUUCAGUGAUCAACAGUCUCCUCAAGACUUAAUCUGUUGGGAAUUUUAUGUGCCCAUGGUCGGCUUCAUCUGUCUUCCAGACAGAGUGAUAAAAAGUGGAAUCACAGCUAAUGGAGUCCCAUGCAGGUUACUGAUAGCUCCAAAGACUGGCCUAGAAACUGGCAAGCACUUUACAAGUUACUGGCAACAGAAAAUCUAAAAAAUGGCAUCAGAUUUUCAAAGUAGAAGGGACAUGUCUUGGAUGUGAAAGAUAAAAGGUUGCUCUGCUCACAGGAGGACAUUAGGAGGAGAGUGGAUCACUUAAUCUUUCAUCAAGGGUUUUGCUGGUUUCAUAUAACUACAACAGUUAUGUGUAUGAAUCUUGAGAAGCCAAACUGGAGAAAAAAAUAUCCAAUCUU